rnacentral:misc_RNA from 1 species
AAGCGGCAAUCUCUUCCAUCACACGGAAAAGACAUAGGCAUAAAUAUUCCAUUUUGUAAUUGGAUGAAAGAAUGGCGGCCAUUAUCGUUUUUGGUCUGCUCCUCGUAAAAAAUAUACCGACUUUCCACGCAUCCACUGACAUCAUCCUGACGCAAGGGAGUCCAGAGGAGUAUUAUAUAUUUAACAAUACAUGUAGCCAACCUCCAUGUCAACAAUGCUCCCCGGCCUGUCCACCUGUUUCCGUAUCAAGCCCCCUUGGAACCACCCUCGUUGCUACAUUCAUAGAUCUUCGAAUCCCUGCAGAUAAUAAGAUAACAUUUACCAACCUGAACACCAGUAAGGAGUUGCUUUCCAUUUCAGGGAUAUCUCAAAUCAUCGAUCCGAUUUAUGUUGAUUCCUCGCAAUUGAAAAUGGAAGUGGAGAAAGUCGAUGAGGCCAACCUUCCUUCCACGGUUUUUCAAGUGAGAUUUUCUUUUGUAGAUCGGCUACAAGAUACGUUCAUCCGGUCAAGCGGUGGUGCCUUUGCCCUAUCCAACACCCUUCCAAGCAUCACACUGCAGAGCGCUAACCUAUCCAGCAUGACAAACCUAGAGGCCGAUCUCCACUGGUUUAUCACAGCCACCUCCUACUCCUGGAUCCAGGUUGAUGUCCUGGAGAUGGAGCCAGGAAUGGGGGCCGAUGUCUGCAUCUCCGACACCUUCAAAACCUAUGGAGAAUGGGUGUGCAUGACGAACUCGGUAUCGUCCACCUCGUGGUAUUCGUACGAUGACGAGAUCAGGUUGUCGUUCUCCGUCCUAAGAGGUGAUCGGCCUGGCUCUGGCCUGACGGUGAAGCUGACUAUCAUUGAUCAUUUAACAUGGAAUGGUCAGUUCCUGACCAUACCAUCGUGCAACCCGAAAGUGACUCUACAGGAAGCUGAAACCAUCAGAUUUACUUCACCAUUCUUCAAUCAAUCUGUUGAAAAUGUGAAAUACCAGUGCAGGAUGACAUUCACCAACGGAUUGCAGCCAGCCGGCUUUCAGUAUCAUCAUCUCGAUGUCAUAGACAGGGUUAUAGUUCAUACAAGAGAGUCUGGCGAUUUUUUGAAACUCGCGGAAGCUACGGAUAUUCACAUGGGCUCUUUGGACUUCCCCAUCAUCUCUGUGUCACCAACUCCAGAAAUUUCCGUUGACGUGAAUAAACCAGAUUACCAGGGGACUGAAGUUGGUCUUAUGGUGCAACCAUAUACGGAAGACAUACUGAAUAUAGGUCCACACCCUUUGUCAUCAUUUGGCUUCGCCAUGGAACUUGAUAACGCCUCAUUCCAACAGGACUUCAUCACCCUUGGCUAUCCGGUUCUUCCCAAUGCGGUCAUGAACUUCAAAUGGCUGUUCGACAAUCGCGUCACUGGUACGGCCAUCAAAAUUCAAUUCAUCGAUUUUGACAUCGGUGCGGCCACCCUUUUUGGCCAUGUAGCAGAGACGAACCCACCUCUAUGGCAGUUGACAGGAUCAGGGAUCCCAGAAGAUAUCCUCACGGACACGACGAGACUGACACUCCUGCUUCAUUCGGAUUCUCAAGGCACAUGUUGCAACAGAGGGAUUUACUUCAAUUUAACAUUAAUAACAAUGAUCGAUGAAUGUUUGAGCUUUCCUUGUCUAAAUGGAGGAACCUGCUUCGACGAGUUCGAAUCAUUCCGAUGUCACUGUCCCAACGAGUAUGAAGGAGACUUGUGCCAAAACCAAAUUACCACACAAAGGCCGAUUCAGACGACGGAGAGCUCAACUACAGCUCACAUUACGACGAUCGCAACACAGACAACGGAUGUAACAGAUUUCAUGACGCAUGACCCAACUUCGAAGACUACAACUCGCAGUGAACCAACUUCUACUAUGUCACCUACUAUAAACGAUGGCAAAAACACAGGAGAAUCGAAGGAUUCCGAUGUACUCAUUAUCGCACUGAGUGUUAGCAUCGUAAUGGCCUUUUUCCUCAUCAUAUUCCUGGUUGGCGUGGUGGUUUACCGAAGUCAGAAGCAAACAGGGACUUUGUCACGCGCUGUCCCUCUGUCGUGCUCCCCAAACGGACUAAUCCAGGAGAAUGGACCAGCCUUUAAUGGGUACCAAGAAGGGAUCGAGUUCAAUAAUAAUACCGCUCUCAUCCCCCACUUCCAGAUCACCCACCUGAAUAUGAGACGAUCGCAGAUGUGGCAGUAAACGGGGCUUGUGGGGGCUGCUACAUUGAAUUGGACAAGCGCGCCAUGGAUGGUGGUGCAUAUGUGAAGCUCAAUGAAAAAAUUCUAUACCCCAGAAAGAUUCACAAGCAAACUGAACGCAAUAAUGUCUCCCCCGCUGGAAAUCAGGUAUCUGUAAAGUCAGAGUCCGGGGACUAUCUCAAACCAGACGCCAUUCAGAUGAAUGGCUGUGCACCUCUACAUUAGUGGACAGCAAACAUCAGAGUUGAACACGCUUCACGAGUGAGACGAGAAGCAGGCGCGCCGGAACACUUUUUUUUUUUUUGGGGGGGGCAAAAUCCCGAAGGGGGCACAAUAUUUUGAC